GUGUUUUAAUGAUUUAUAUUGCAACUUAAAAAAGAUCCCAACUCCGACAAAGAAUAUGUUUCGCAAGUACAACAUAGAAUUCCGGGACAUGGGCCUCUUUGUCAUUGGAUAACAUUAAUGCCCAUACGUUUUCUAUAUAAACUCAAGUACGAUCCAAACAACAACACUAGGUUUUUAGCUUUCGAGUUAAACAGCGUAAUAAUAAUAAGAAAAGAAGCAACAAAAAGGAAGAUGGGUUUCUGGAGAUGUGCGGUGAGCCAUGUUAUUCAGGUUUUUAACACGAAUCCCCGAUCCUUUACUGUAGCCUCGUGGAUUCUCCCCACGUUAGUGGUCACAAAAACUAUACUCCAACGCAGAAAUAAUAUUGCUGAUGAAGACUUAGACAAAUAUUGGGAAAGAUACUUGAAGUUGAAAGAUAUUACUGUUGGUGGCGAGACGGUGUCAAGACCGAAAGAAUUUAAGAAGAAUCAGUAGUUUAUCAAUUUUUAUCUCAGCAACUCUUGCUGUGGGUGUAUUUUAAUUUGUUUGAUGUCAUAAUUAUACGUAAUUGUGUUCGAAUUUUUUAGUUCUGGAA